rnacentral:rRNA from 1 species
UUGAGAGCUUGCUCUCAAGAAGUUAGCGGCGGACGGGUGAGUAACACGUGGGUAACCUGCCCAUAAGACUGGGAUAACUCCGGGAAACCGGGGCUAAUACCGGAUAACAUUUUGAACUGCAUGGUUCGAAAUUGAAAGGCGGCUUCGGCUGUCACUUAUGGAUGGACCCGCGUCGCAUUAGCUAGUUGGUGAGGUAACGGCUCACCAAGGCAACGAUGCGUAGCCGACCUGAGAGGGUGAUCGGCCACACUGGGACUGAGACACGGCCCAGACUCCUACGGGAGGCAGCAGUAGGGAAUCUUCCGCAAUGGACGAAAGUCUGACGGAGCAACGCCGCGUGAGUGAUGAAGGCUUUCGGGUCGUAAAACUCUGUUGUUAGGGAAGAACAAGUGCUAGUUGAAUAAGCUGGCACCUUGACGGUACCUAACCAGAAAGCCACGGCUAACUACGUGCCAGCAGCCGCGGUAAUACGUAGGUGGCAAGCGUUAUCCGGAAUUAUUGGGCGUAAAGCGCGCGCAGGUGGUUUCUUAAGUCUGAUGUGAAAGCCCACGGCUCAACCGUGGAGGGUCAUUGGAAACUGGGAGACUUGAGUGCAGAAGAGGAAAGUGGAAUUCCAUGUGUAGCGGUGAAAUGCGUAGAGAUAUGGAGGAACACCAGUGGCGAAGGCGACUUUCUGGUCUGUAACUGACACU